rnacentral:pre_miRNA from 1 species
GGGGGGAGGCCGGAUCCUGGGCUGUGUCCCCGGCGCCCUGGGCUCUGGGGCCUGCGCUGCUGGAAUCGUACUCCCAGGGCCGCACAGUCCCCU